UGUAAGACUGGGAUAACUUCGGGAAACCGAAGCUAAUACCGGAUAGGAUCUUCUCCUUCAUGGGAGAUGAUUGAAAGAUGGUUUCGGCUAUCACUUACAGAUGGGCCCGCGGUGCAUUAGCUAGUUGGUGAGGUAACGGCUCACCAAGGCAACGAUGCAUAGCCGACCUGAGAGGGUGAUCGGCCACACUGGGACUGAGACACGGCCCAGACUCCUACGGGAGGCAGCAUUAGGGAAUCUUCCGCAAUGGACGAAAGUCUGACGGAGCAACGCCGCGUGAGUGAUGAAGGCUUUCGGGUCGUAAAACUCUGUUGUUAGGGAAGAACAAGUACAAGAGUAACUGCUCGUACCUUGACGGUACCUAACCAGAAAGCCACGGCUAACUACGUGCCAGCAA
rnacentral:rRNA from 2 species